rnacentral:rRNA from 1 species
AUUGAACGCUGGCGGCAGGCCUAACACAUGCAAGUCGAACGAGUGGCGGACGGGUGAGUUAUGUCUGGGAAACUGCCCGAUGGAGGGGGAUAACUACUGGAAACGGUAGCCAAUACCGCACAGCAUCGGCUGUGCCCAGAUGGGUUGAGCUAGUAGGUGGGGUAAUGGCUCACGUAGGCGACGACCCCUAGCUGGUCUGAGAGGAUGACCAGCCACACUGGAACUGAGACACGGUCCAGACUCCUACGGGAGGCAGCAGUGGGGAAUAUUGCACAAUGGGCGCAAGCCUGAUGCAGCCAUGCCGCGUGUAUGAAGAAGGCCUUCGGGUUGUAAAGUACUUUCAGCGAGGAGGCGUUACUCGCAGAAUAAGCACCGGCUAACUCCGUGCCAGCAGCCGCGGUAAUUC